GGUAGAUGAACGCUGGCGGCAGGCCUAACACAUGCAAGUCGAACGGUAACAGGAAGCAGCUUGCUGCUUCGCUGACGAGUGGCGGACGGGUGAGUAAUGUCUGGGAAACUGCCUGAUGGAGGGGGAUAACUACUGGAAACGGUAGCUAAUACCGCAUAACGUCGCAAGACCAAAGAGGGGGACCUUCGGGCCUCUUGCCAUCGGAUGUGCCCAGAUGGGAUUAGCUUGUUGGUGGGGUAACGGCUCACCAAGGCGACGAUCCCUAGCUGGUCUGAGAGGAUGACCAGCCACACUGGAACUGAGACACGGUCCAGACUCCUACGGGAGGCAGCAGUGGGGAAUAUUGCACAAUGGGCGCAAGCCUGAUGCAGCCAUGCCGCGUGUAUGAAGAAGGCCUUCGGGUUGUAAAGUACUUUCAGCGGGGAGGAAGGGAGUAAAGUUAAUACCUUUGCUCAUUGACGUUACCCGCAGAAGAAGCACCGGCUAACUCCGUGCCAGCAGCCGCGGUAAUACGGAGGGUGCAAGCGUUAAUCGGAAUUACUGGGCGUAAAGCGCACGCAGGCGGUUUGUUAAGUCAGAUGUGAAAUCCCCGGGCUCAACCUGGGAACUGCAUCUGAUACUGGCAAGCUUGAGUCUCGUAGAGGGGGGUAGAAUUCCAGGUGUAGCGGUGAAAUGCGUAGAGAUCUGGAGGAAUACCGGUGGCGAAGGCGGCCCCCUGGACGAAGACUGACGCUCAGGUGCGAAAGCGUGGGAGCAACAGGAUA
rnacentral:rRNA from 1 species